rnacentral:rRNA from 1 species
UACAGAGGAGCCAAGCGUUGUCCGGAUUGACUGGGCGUAAAGCGCACGCAGGCGGAUGCGCGCGUGGGGUGUGAAAUCUGGCCGCUUAACGGCCAGGCGCCAUCCCAUACGGCGCGUCUGGAGUGAUGCAGAGGUCGAUGGAAUUGCCGGUGUAGUGGUGAAAUGCGUAGAGAUGCGGAGGAACACCGAUGGCGAAGGCAGCCCCCUGGGCUAAGACUGACGCUGAGGCACGAAAGCGUGGGGAGCAAACAGG